rnacentral:rRNA from 1 species
AGAGUUUGAUCAUGGCUCAGGACGAACGCUGGCGGCGUGCCUAACACAUGCAAGUCGAGCGGGGACAGCGAGUAGCAAUACGAGCUGUUCUAGCGGCGGACGGGUGAGUAACGCGUGAGCAACCUGUCCCAAACAGGGGGAUAACGAAUCGAAAGGUUCACUAAUACCGCAUAAGACCACGGGGCCACAUGGUCCAGGGGUCAAAGGAGCAAUCCGGUUUGGGGUGGGCUCGCGUCUGAUUAGCCAGUUGGCGGGGUAACGGCCCACCAAAGCGACGAUCAGUAGCCGACCUGAGAGGGUGAUCGGCCACAUUGGAACUGAGAGACGGUCCAAACUCCUACGGGAGGCAGCAGUGGGGAAUAUUGGGCAAUGGGGGAAACCCUGACCCAGCAACGCCGCGUGAAGGAAGAAGGUUUUCGGAUCGUAAACUUCUAUCCCGGGUGAAGAUAAUGACGGUAGCCCGGAAGGAAGCCCCGGCUAACUACGUGCCAGCAGCCGCGGUAAUACGUAGGGGGCAAGCGUUGUCCGGAAUGAUUGGGCGUAAAGGGCGCGUAGGCGGCACGGCAAGUCCGGAGUGAAAGUCCUGCUUUUAAGGUGGGAAUUGCUUUGGAAACUGUCGAGCUUGAGUGCAGGAGAGGUAAGCGGAAUUCCCGGUGUAGCGGUGAAAUGCGUAGAGAUCGGGAGGAACACCAGUGGCGAAGGCGGCUUACUGGACUGUAACUGACGCUGAGGCGCGAAAGUGUGGGGAGCAAACAGGAUUAGAUACCCUAGUAGUCC